GAAAAAGUUUAAGUCGUAGGAAGGAUGUAAAAGUCAAUAAAAGAGAGGCAGACAGGUGGUAAUACGGACAGGUAAGAACGUACAGGUAAACUGACAGGUAAGAAAGGUAGGAACGUAAAGGUAGGAAAAUACAGGUGGGAAAAUACAGGUAGGAAAAUACAGAUGGGAAAAUACAGGUGGGAAAAUACAGGUAGGAAAAUACAGGUUGGAAAAUACAGGUAGGAAAAUACAGGUAGAGAAAUACUGGUAGGAAAAUACAGGUAGGAAAAUACAGGUUGGAAAAUACAGGUGGGAAAAUACAGGUAGGAAAAAUCAGGUUGCCAGCUCACCUCCACUACACCAGCAUAUGGAUGAGGAAGAUGAUAAGCGCCCCAACAACCAAGAACCCGAGGAAGUUGAACCCAAUGAGGGGAUCGUGCUU